GGUCCGAUGGCCGAGUGGUUAGGCAAGGGUCUGCAAAACCCUCUACGGCGGUUCAAUUCCGCCUCGGACCU
rnacentral:tRNA from 1 species